UACGGAGGGGCUAGCGUUGUUCGGAAUUACUGGGCGUAAAGCGCACGUAGGCGGAUCGGAAAGUUGGGGGUGAAGUCCCGGGGCUCAACCCCGGAACUGCCUUCAAAACUCCCGGUCUUGAGUUCGAGAGAGGUGAGUGGAAUUCCGAGUGUAGAGGUGAAAUUCGUAGAUAUUCGGAGGAACACCAGUGGCGAAGGCGGCUCACUGGCUCGAUACUGACGCUGAGGUGCGAAAGUGUGGGGAGCAAACAGG
rnacentral:rRNA from 1 species